rnacentral:lncRNA from 1 species
GCACAUGCAACUGAGUUCAGGCCGGGGGACUGUGAGCGAUGUACUCCACUUCCAGGCUUGGGCUAAUUACCUCCUAUGUGCGGUCCUAGCUCCUUGUUCUUCUUCCACAGCGGAUGUGCAUGAGCACAGGACUUGGAUGCUACUUACUGAAGGUAGUAAAGCCAGAAGAUGACAGAUACCUGGGUCUCUCAGUCUCUCUACACGGCUCACUCAUUUUGGACUUUUCAUGAGCAAAAAGUAAACUUUUAUCAUACACUUUUUCUGCAGUGUCAACAUCAUCUUCAUCAUUACUAUUACUACAAUCACCUUGAUUCAGAACCCAUCAGUCAAUGAAUGAACAACUGGAGCCUCACUAUUGGUGUGAAUAAUUUCUUUGAUAUCCACUUCUUCCAGCUUGCUGAUAGACUCUGAAGAUGGCAGUUGCAGCCAUCUUGUGACUAGAAGAAGAGGAAGCUCCAUACUCAGGGGCUCCAGAACACUAGAGUCACAGUCCUGAGACACAUACCUGGAGGCUGCCCUGCGUGUGG